rnacentral:rRNA from 1 species
UACGCGAGCUGGGUUUAGAACGUCGUGAGACAGUUCGGUCCCUAUCUGCCGUGGGCGCUGGAGAAUUGAGGGGGGCUGCUCCUAGUACGAGAGGACCGGAGUGGACGCAUCACUGGUGUUCGGGUUGUCAUGCCAAUGGCACUGCCCGGUAGCUAAAUGCGGAAGAGAUAAGUGCUGAAAGCAUCUAAGCACGAAACUUGCCCCGAGAUGAGUUCUCCCUGAGACCUUGAGUCUCCUGAAGGAACGUUAAAGACUAUGACGUUGAUAGGUCGGGUGUGUAAGCGCAGCGAUGCGUUGAGCUAACCGAUACUAAUGAACCGUGAGGCUUAACCUU